rnacentral:rRNA from 1 species
UACGGGGGGGGCAAGCGUUGUUCGGAAUUACUGGGCGUAAAGGGCUCGUAGGUGGCCAACUAAGUCAGACGUGAAAUCCCUCGGCUUAACCGGGGAACUGCGUCUGAUACUGGAUGGCUUGAGAUUGGGAGAGGGAUGCGGAAUUCCAGGUGUAGCGGUGAAAUGCGUAGAGAUCUGGAGGAAUACCGAUGGCGAAGGCAGCCAUCUGGCCUAACACUGACGCUGGAGUGACGAAAGCAU